CAGCAGCCGCGGGAAUACAGAGGGUGCAAGCGUUAAUCGGAAUUACUGGGCGUAAAGCGCGCGUAGGUGGUUUGUUAAGUUGGAUGUGAAAUCCCCGGGCUCAACCUGGGAACUGCAUCCAAAACUGGCAACCUAGAGUAUGGUAGAGGGUGGUGGAAUUUCCUGUGUAGCGGUGAAAUGCGUAGAUAUAGGAAGGAACACCAGUGGCGAAGGCGACCACCUGGACUGAUACUGACACUGAGGUGCGAAAGCGUGGGGAGCAAACAGGAUUAGAUACCCGCGUAGUCCCUGUCUCUUAUAC
rnacentral:rRNA from 1 species